UUUAGAUUUCCCGUUUCGAUAGAUCUCUGACGAUCUUAAGCUGUCGGGAAAUUUGGCUGAAAAGAUAGCCCAUUAAAGCGGUUAACGAAGAACGGUUUCCAAUAACGAUUUCGCUCAGACUUCACUUGAGACCAUUUCCACCCGUUAAGCCGCAUUCACGGAGAGUGGCAGAGUGCACUUGCGAUGCCUGGGAGUGGCGUUUUAUCGUAAGAUGCAUACGCAUAUUCCCGGAGCACUUCGUAUCCAGCUGACUGAAUUGGAUUUUGAAUUAAGUAUGCAAAGUGCAACGCAAUUUAUAAAAACGCUCAACAUUCGUAUUGGGAUAAUGAA